GCGCCAUAUUAACUGCUGUCGGAAGGAAGACUGCCGCUUUGCAUGCAGGCGUCCGCGCGGCUUGGGAAGAGGCUACCCUGUGACCCGGGCGGGAAAUUGGGACGGCCACCUACGUGACAGUUCUUCAGUCACCUCUAAAAUGAGGAACACAGGCUAUCGAUGCCCCCACAACCCCUUUUACGGAUUAGUCAAUUCCGACAGGUCCUGCUCAAGGUCAAUGGGGCUGGUGGCCUGGAGGACUCAUUUAAGAAUCAUGUGUCGAGUACCUACUUUGAACAAAGGUGGUACCAUCUAUGCCCUGGUGGCUGGGGGUGGACACAAACAUGUGACCAGCCUGUGAACUCCUCUGUUGGGUGUCUUAUUACCCCCUGCUUUGGGUGUGAUUGAAUCCUCCAGUCAGAGGUAGAAGAAAAAAGGGUGGCCUGGGAAGAGG
rnacentral:lncRNA from 1 species